rnacentral:lncRNA from 1 species
UUUAAAAAUUCAUGUUUUAGGUUUUCCUGAGUUAAAGGUGAUUAGAUCCUAGGACGAGGUGCUCUUUCCUAUACAUUGCUCGGUAGGUCUAAUGUGACAGUAAGUGAUAUCAAUCGUGCCCAAAGUCACUCCGCUGACGGUCAAGGUUUAAUCAUGUGUAUAUGAAUACUUGGUGUGAAAUACUAAGAAUCAUUUGUUAAUCUAUAUAUGAAUAUAAUGGUUGAUGAUACCAUUAUGAAUGCAUGAUUGGGUUUUAUGAGUUGUUUUCAAAGGAAUUGUAAUUGAGCAUUAUGAAUUUCAGAUUCUAAAGGAAUAUGGAUUAAAGUAUAAGAUCAUGUAAGUAGGCUUGCUUGGGCUUGG